UACAGAGGUCUCAAGCGUUGUUCGGAAUUACUGGGCGUAAAGGGUGCGCAGGCCGCGCGGGCAGUCAAUUGUGUAAUUCAGGGGCUCAACCUCUGGACUGCGCUUGAUACUUCCGUGCUAGAGCUUUGGAGAGGAGUCUGGAAUUCUCGGUGUAGCAGUGGAAAUGCGUGGAUAUCGAGAAGAACACUUAGGGCGGAAGGCAAGACUC
rnacentral:rRNA from 1 species